AAGCUGCGUUGUACGUAAUGUUAAUAAAGUUUUAACCUUUAAGCUGAAAAAGGGAGUUUUUAUCGAAACCGGAAUGUCAGGCCUUUGUCUUUAGACAAGAAGGAAGACAGGAACGUUUUUGCGAGCACCCACUUGGAGGAGUGUGGUUUAAAACUUUCUUAAUUAGAAUUACGGCAAAAGCGGCUUUU
rnacentral:other from 1 species